rnacentral:rRNA from 1 species
UAGGGAGUCUUCGGCAAUGGACGAAAGUCUGACCGAGCAACGCCGCGUGAGUGAAGAAGGUUUUCGGAUCGUAAAACUCUGUUGGUAGAGAAGAACGUUGGUGAGAGUGGAAAGCUCAUCAAGUGACGGUAACUACCCAGAAAGGGACGGCUAACUACGUGCCAC